CCUCACAUAGAAUAAUUUCUCCGAAUUCACAGCUCCCUUAGAGCAGCCUGCGGAUUCCGCACCGAAUAUUUUCUCCGGCACCCUACCGGCCUACUCACUAUUUUGACGCCCGAUCCGCUCCCUCUGGCUACGUUCCCCGCUCUACAUCCAGUUUUCUCCGCCGUAUUUCCUCUCUGCGUGCUAUGCUCUCGUUGCUUUUCUCUUACCAUUCUCCUUACUUUUCGCUACCUUCUCUUCUCUUUACUCUACCCGGCCCGCCUCAUCCCUUUCUAUCGAUCGCCCAAAACUGUGCCCCUCUCAGUUUCCCGUGAACUUAUGGCAACUGAACCCUACUCCCUGUUCCCUUCCUCCUGAUCCUGUCAAUCCUCUGCUUCCUAAUUUCUCGUCCCCCAACUUUCAACAUCUGCAAUUACAGAGGAAAUCAAGUUUUCAAAAUCCCUAUAUCGCCGUCAUCCUCAGUUUCCCAAUCGCCGAUAUAUGGAAGUUUCGGCGACCAGGUUUACAACUCGUUGCUAAGGCUUAAAUAACUGGUCCCUUUACAUCAAAUCCUCUCCGAGAUGUUUGAGGCGCACGUUCUUUAUCUGCUUCGGAAAUAUUUGGGUGAAUAUAUUGAGGGCCUUUCUGUUGAAGCUCUUAGAAUCAGUGUUUGGAAAGGAGAUGUUGUUUUGAAAGACUUGAGAUGAAGGCUAGGCACUGACUCUUU